AUAUUUAUCAAAUUAAAAAAAAUUGCACUAUUUACGUUUUCAUGAAAAUUGUCACACAUAAUCUUCUCGCGUAAUCAAACCAAAUGGCAUUUAAAAAAAAGAGGGUCCAUGAACUCGUUUUCAAGUUAAAUAAGUUUGAAUGAUAAAAAUCAGUCGAAAACUGAAUCUUUUCCCGAUAAGUCAUAGUUUGACGUCGCGAAAAUAACAAUUUACAUUAGCAACGUCAUUACCUCCC
rnacentral:lncRNA from 1 species